UUGUACUAGUUUUAAAAAUAUCUUCUCCCUAAAUACCUAAACCAUCCGUCCUUAUCCUCCCUCACUCACGUUCUCUCUCACCGAAGCAUCACCACCAGCUUUCUUUUCUUAUUCAUUUUCUUUCUUUCUCCCACAUUCACGUCCCUUAUUUUCUUUUCCUGCAGCACUUCUUCUUUCUUUCAUUUUCUUUUGUUGAAGCACCCACACCACCAUGGUACCUCUCACUCACGCCCACUUACUCAUUCUCCGCCAUUUUCAUGUUGCUUUUCCUUGUACAGCAACCAAAAGACCCAUAUUCUUUCUUUCUUCCACUUCUACUUCUCCAUAUUACUUCUCUCUAAGCAAAGUGCAAGUUCCUUGUCUGUUUAAUUAAAAUAAGACCCAUAUUGCUCUCUCUUCCUCACGAGCAGCAGGAUUCGUGGUGCAAGGGAAAGACCAGUUGCAGAUCCCCCACCACUCUACCACCAUCAUCUUCAUCUUCUCAUUUUAUGGGUACGAAGGACGGAAGCGCUUGACGACGAAGCCAAAGAACAAACGGAAGUGAGCCAACACGGGAAAGCAAAGAUAUGACUGGAUUUGAUUUGAGUCGCAACUUAGUAAGGAAAGCGCCUAAGGUUAGGGCAACUUGCUAUUUAGCUAUGAUUGCAUGAUAGGUGUCGAUAAAUUCGACUUAUGCUUUAUCUGAUGUUGUUUAUGAUGAUGAGUUGAUGUUAUAAUGCUUUUCCAUAACUUGUGAUAUUGUGCUAUUGUUGGAUUGUGCGUUUUGACGCGACUUCGGAGUGGAGAUUCAUUGAUCUGGUGAUCUUUGAUAUUUCGGGUUGGAUGAACAACCCUAGGCAAGUUCAAAUGUGGGGUUUGAGACUUAGCCAUUCGUUGGGAUUCGUUUGAAUACUUAGACUUUCCCCGGGAAACUUCUUUUGGAGGGUUUUUUUGGAAACUUAGAAAGAUUAGAAUUUCGAAAACUAGAGACUUUGGGAGACUUAGACUUUGAGAAAUAAACUCAUAACCUGACUAAUCCAAUUCGAAACGUUUUACUAAACGAAUAAUCAUAGGAGAACUAAAGGGGAAAAUAAUUGCGAAACACGGGGAAAAGUCGACUUUUGUUGUGGGUUUGGAGAGUUAUUGGAAUUGGGGAAAGCCACUAAGGUGAGCUAUGGUGAUGAUUGAAAGUCACCGAGUACUUCAGUACUCUUAUCGUUGGGGUUGUGUUGUAUUGACCGACACUAACCCUGGGUUUCGACAUUGGGUUUUGGUUGUUGGAGUGUGUUGUAUUGACCGACACUAAACUCCCGAGUACUUUAGUACUCUUGUUGUUCGAGUUGUGUUGUAUUGACCGACACUGACUCUGGCUUUGAUUUUGGGUUUUGUUAUUGGAGUUGUGUUGUAUUGACCGACACUAACUCCGAGUUGUGUUGUAUUGACCGACACUAACUCUUGGGUUGUUUUGAGUUUGGGUUUGAACUAAACACUUGUGUGGUGAGGACGAUUCGAUGUUUGGCUAACCAUAUUGCAUCAAUCGGGUGAAUAACGGGAAUGGUUCACCUGUGCAUCUCAUGGUGAAUAGCGGGAAUGGUUCACCACUGCAUUAAUGAUGAAUAACGGGAAUGGUUCAUCAUACGGUGAAUAACGGGAAUGGUUCACCAAGGAUGAAUAACGGGAAUGGUUCAUCCAUAGUGAAGAACGGGAAUGCUUCACUUGUGGCGAACGGGAACGCGUCACAAUCCGGAUCAUAUUGUGCAUUUCACGCAUACAUUCAUUCUGACUGGAAUCAUGUGCUGUUUGAUUUAUUGAAGCAUUGUUAGAGCCAUAACAUGCUAGGAUUGCUUAUAUAUAUAUAUAUAUAUAUAUCAACAUAUAUCUAUACCCCAUAUCACAUGUUGAGUGUAUAUCUACUUAUUUCUGUGAGUUGACUCUAGCGCCUUGGCUUUGGUUGCAUGUUUGUGUUUGAGCGGUCGGCCUGCUGCCAGACGUCGACGGUGGAUUGGGUUUCGAUGGUCUUUCCCUCGGGAGGGAUCAGGUUUGAGCUGGUUGAUCGACAUGCCCCCACCGCUUGGGUGAUCUAUCUUGCGGGUCAUCGAGCGACGUACCGGGGAAGGGUCAUGAAGGACCGGACUAACGAGCGUAGACGUCUAUCGAAGGGAGCUUUACGACGCAUGGAGCUGAGCUUCAACUUGCCAACCUUAGUUCGCUGUGGACUUGGACUCUAACUCUGACACUGAUGUCGACUAGUACGUUAGGAGUGACGAGGAGGAGGAGGAGGAGCUUUGAGCGGUACUGGAAGGGUAGGUGUAGGCAGGCGUCAGGUUUUGUGUAGAGCUCUGAUUCGUUUUGCUUUUGGGACAGGGUAGGUUCCCGACGCAUGACUUCUGUGUGGUUCUCUUACUGAGGGAUCACAGUGAGUCAGUCGGACCAUGGGGGUCUUUGCUUAGGCCAUUUUUGAGGCCGACUAUCUUCUUGUGGGUUGUAAUUAUAAACUUUCUUACUCACACUUCGGGUUCUGUAUAUAUUUGCCUUCGGGCAUACUACUUUGGAGUCACUGCGAGUGCGCGUGACGUGGAAGUGCAGCUGCGGCUGUACAUGGUUAUAUUUGAUGUAUAUUGGUUAGUUUAGUGGAUGGGUUAUGUCUUUAUUUUCUAUUGCUUGAUUUAAAAGGAAUCAAACGAAAAAAAAAAUUACCUGUU